CGUAACGAUGAUACUAGUGUAGGGGUAUCGACUCCCCCUGUGCCGAGUAACGCAAUAAGUAUCCCGCCUGGGAGUACGGCCGCAAGGCUGAAACUCAAAGGAAUUGACGGGGGCCCGCACAAGCGGUGGAGUAUGUGGUUUAAUUUCGACGCAACGCGAAGAACCUUACCAAGCCUUGACAUUGAGUGCUAUCUCCAGAGAUGGAGAGUUCCUCUUCGGAGGACGCGAAAACAGGUGGUGCACGGCUGUCGUCAGCUCGUGUCGUGAGAUGUUGGGUUAAGUCCCGCAACGAGCGCAACCCUUGUCUUCUGUUGCCAGCACGUAAAGGUGGGGACUCAGGAGAGACUGCCGCAGACAAUGCGGAGGAAGGCGGGGAUGACGUCAAGUCAUCAUGCCCCUUAUGGCUUGGGCUACACACGUACUACAAUGGCUCUAAACAGAGGGAAGCGAAGGAGCGAUCCGGAGCGAACCCCAAAAACAGAGUCUCAGUUCGGAUUGCAGGCUGCAACCCGCCUGCAUGAAGCAGGAAUCGCUAGUAAUCGCAGGUCAGCAUACUGCGGUGAAUACGUUCCCGGGCCUUGUACACACCGCCCGUCACACCACGAAAGUCGUUCACACCCGAAGCCGGUGGGGUAACCGCAAGGAGCCAGCCGUCGAAGGCGGGGGCGAUGAUUGGGGUGAAGUCGUAACAAGGUAACCGUA
rnacentral:rRNA from 1 species